rnacentral:rRNA from 1 species
GCAGUAGCCGCGGUAAUACGAAGGGUGCAAGCGUUAAUCGGAAUUACUGGGCGUAAAGCGUGCGUAGGCGGUGAGUUAAGUCUGCUGUGAAAUCCCCGGGCUCAACCUGGGAAUGGCAGUGGAUACUGGCUCGCUAGAGUGUGUCAGAGGAUGGUGGAAUUCCCGGUGUAGCGGUGAAAUGCGUAGAGAUCGGGAGGAACAUCAGUGGCGAAGGCGGCCAUCUGGGACAACACUGACGCUGAGGCACGAAAGCGUGGGGAGCAAACAGGAUUAGAUACCCCUGUAGUCCCUGUCUCUUAUAA